rnacentral:rRNA from 1 species
UACGGGGGGAGCAAGCGUUGUUCGGAUUUAUUGGGCGUAAAGGGCGCGUAGGCGGCGGGGUCAGUCGGGUGUGAAAUCUUGGGGCUUAACCCCGAAACGGCACUCGAUACUGCCGUGCUUGAGGACUGGAGAGGAGACUGGAAUUUACGGUGUAGCGGUGAAAUGCGUAGAUAUCGUAAGGAAGACCAGUGGCGAAGGCGGGUCUCUGGACAGUUCCUGACGCUGAGGCACGAAGGCCAGGGGAGCAAACGGG